GAAAAUCAUAUCGAGACUGUAGAGGAGGCCGAACGUUUACUAGGUUAUGCAGGAGAUACUUUCUUCUCCAUUCAUGCUGACAAAGAGGACGGUACACCACUUGGUGGCUCUUUGACACCUCCGUUCCCAUCUCCUUGCACUUUAAGAACGGCACUUUCCCGCUAUGCCGACCUUCUUACUUCACCUAAAAAGGCAGCUUUAGUUGCAUUAGCAGCUCAUGCUUCCGAUCCCACUGAAGCUGAGCGGUUGAGAUUUCUUGCUUCUCCUGUUGGAAAGGAUGAAUAUACUCAAUGGAUAGUUGCAAGUCA
rnacentral:misc_RNA from 1 species